GACGAACGCUGGCGGCGUGCCUAAUACAUGCAAGUCGAACGCAGUGGGGACGGGUGAGUAACACGUGGUUAACCUCCCAUCAGAGGGGAUAACACUUGGAAACAGGUGCUAAACCGUUACUUAUGGAUGGUCCCGCGGUGCAUUAGCUAGUUGGUGAGGUAACGGCCCACCAAGGACACGAUACAUAGCAGACCGGGGAGGGUGAUCGGCCACACUGGGACUGAGACACGGCCCAGACUCCUACGGGAGGCAGCAGUAGGGAAUCUUCGGCAAUGGACGAAAGUCUGACCGAGCAACGCCGCGUGAGUGAAGAAGGUUUUCGGAUCGUAAAGCUCUGUUGUUAGAGAAGCGGGAACUAACCAGAAAGCCACGGCUAACUACGGGCCAGCAGCCGCGGUAAUUC
rnacentral:rRNA from 1 species